GGAGGAGUGCCAGAGUGGUUGAAUGGGCCGCACUCGAAAUGCGGUGUACUGGCAACGGUACCGGGGGUUCGAAUCCCUCCUCCUCCG
rnacentral:tRNA from 1 species